rnacentral:rRNA from 1 species
GGGUUGUGAGGUUAAGCGACUAAGCGUACACGGUGGAUGCCCUGGCAGUCAGAGGCGAUGAAGGACGUGCUAAUCUGCGAUAAGCGUCGGUGAGGUGAUAUGAACCGUUAUAACCGGCGAUUUCCGAAUGGGGAAACCCAGUGUGUUUCGACACACUAUCAUUAACUGAAUCCAUAGGUUAAUGAGGCGAACCGGGGGAACUGAAACAUCUAAGUACCCCGAGGAAAAGAAAUCAACCGAGAUUCCCCCAGUAGCGGCGAGCGAACGGGGAGGAGCCCAGAGCCUGAAUCAGUGUGUGUGUUAGUGGAAGCGUCUGGAAAGGCGCGCGAUACAGGGUGACAGCCCCGUACACAAAAAUGCACAUGCUGUGAGCUCGAUGAGUAGGGCGGGACACGUGGUAUCCUGUCUGAAUAUGGGGGACCAUCCUCCAAGGCUAAAUACUCCUGACUGACCGAUAGUGAACCAGUACCGUGAGGGAAAGGCGAAAAGAACCCCGGCGAGGGGAGUGAAAAAGAACCUGAAACCGUGUACGUACAAGCAGUGGGAGCCUCUUAAUGGGGUGACUGCGUACCUUUUGUAUAAUGGGUCAGCGACUUAUAUUCUGUAGCAAGGUUAACCGAAUAGGGGAGCCGAAGGGAAACCGAGUCUUAACUGGGCGUUAAGUUGCAGGGUAUAGACCCGAAACCCGGUGAUCUAGCCAUGGGCAGGUUGAAGGUUGGGUAACACUAACUGGAGGACCGAACCGACUAAUGUUGAAAAAUUAGCGGAUGACUUGUGGCUGGGGGUGAAAGGCCAAUCAAACCGGGAGAUAGCUGGUUCUCCCCGAAAGCUAUUUAGGUAGCGCCUCGUGAAUUCAUCUCCGGGGGUAGAGCACUGUUUCGGCAAGGGGGUCAUCCCGACUUACCAACCCGAUGCAAACUGCGAAUACCGGAGAAUGUUAUCACGGGAGACACACGGCGGGUGCUAACGUCCGUCGUGAAGAGGGAAACAACCCAGACCGCCAGCUAAGGUCCCAAAGUCAUGGUUAAGUGGGAAACGAUGUGGGAAGGCCCAGACAGCCGGAUGUUGGCUUAGAAGCAGCCAUCAUUUAAAGAAAGCGUAAUAGCUCACUGGUCGAGUCGGCCUGCGCGGAAGAUGUAACGGGGCUAAACCAUGCACCGAAGCUGCGGCAGCGACACUAUGUGUUGUUGGGUAGGGGAGCGUUCUGUAAGCCUGUGAAGGUGUGCUGUGAGGCAUGCUGGAGGUAUCAGAAGUGCGAAUGCUGACAUAAGUAACGAUAAAGCGGGUGAAAAGCCCGCUCGCCGGAAGACCAAGGGUUCCUGUCCAACGUUAAUCGGGGCAGGGUGAGUCGACCCCUAAGGCGAGGCCGAAAGGCGUAGUCGAUGGGAAACAGGUUAAUAUUCCUGUACUUGGUGUUACUGCGAAGGGGGGACGGAGAAGGCUAUGUUGGCCGGGCGACGGUUGUCCCGGUUUAAGCGUGUAGGCUGGUUUUCCGUGCAAAUCCGGAAAACCAAGGCUGAGGCGUGAUGACGAGGCACUACGGUGCUGAAGCGACAAAUGCCCUGCUUCCGUGAAAGCCUCUAAGCAUCAGGUAACAUCAAAUCGUACCCCAAACCGACACAGGUGGUCAGGUAGAGAAUACCAAGGCGCUUGAGAGAACUCGGGUGAAGGAACUAGGCAAAAUGGUGCCGUAACUUCGGGAGAAGGCACGCUGAUAUGUAGGUGAAGCGACUUGCUCGUGGAGCUGAAAUCAGUCGAAGAUACCAGCUGGCUGCAACUGUUUAUUAAAAACACAGCACUGUGCAAACACGAAAGUGGACGUAUACGGUGUGACGCCUGCCCGGUGCCGGAAGGUUAAUUGAUGGGGUUAGCGGUAACGCGAAGCUCUUGAUCGAAGCCCCGGUAAACGGCGGCCGUAACUAUAACGGUCCUAAGGUAGCGAAAUUCCUUGUCGGGUAAGUUCCGACCUGCACGAAUGGCGUAAUGAUGGCCGUGCUGUCUCCACCCGAGACUCAGUGAAAUUGAACUCGCUGUGAAGAUGCAGUGUACCCGCGGCAAGACGGAAAGACCCCGUGAACCUUUACUAUAGCUUGACACUGAACAUUGAGCCUUGAUGUGUAGGAUAGGUGGGAGGCUUUGAAGUGUGGACGCCAGUCUGCAUGGAGCCGACCUUGAAAUACCACCCUUUAAUGUUUGAUGUUCUAACGUUGGCCCGUAAUCCGGGUUGCGGACAGUGUCUGGUGGGUAGUUUGACUGGGGCGGUCUCCUCCUAAAGAGUAACGGAGGAGCACGAAGGUUGGCUAAUCCUGGUCGGACAUCAGGAGGUUAGUGCAAUGGCAUAAGCCAGCUUGACUGCGAGCGUGACGGCGCGAGCAGGUGCGAAAGCAGGUCAUAGUGAUCCGGUGGUUCUGAAUGGAAGGGCCAUCGCUCAACGGAUAAAAGGUACUCCGGGGAUAACAGGCUGAUACCGCCCAAGAGUUCAUAUCGACGGCGGUGUUUGGCACCUCGAUGUCGGCUCAUCACAUCCUGGGGCUGAAGUAGGUCCCAAGGGUAUGGCUGUUCGCCAUUUAAAGUGGUACGCGAGCUGGGUUUAGAACGUCGUGAGACAGUUCGGUCCCUAUCUGCCGUGGGCGCUGGAGAACUGAGGGGGGCUGCUCCUAGUACGAGAGGACCGGAGUGGACGCAUCACUGGUGUUCGGGUUGUCAUGCCAAUGGCACUGCCCGGUAGCUAAAUGCGGAAGAGAUAAGUGCUGAAAGCAUCUAAGCACGAAACUUGCCCCGAGAUGAGUUCUCCCUGAGACUUAGAGUCUCCUGAAGGAACGUUGAAGACGACGACGUUGAUAGGCCGGGUGUGUAAGCGCAGCGAUGCGUUGAGCUAACCGGUACUAAUGAACCGUGAGGCUUAACCUUACAACGCCGAAG